rnacentral:rRNA from 1 species
ACUCCUACGGGAGGCAGCAGUGGGGAAUUUUGGACAAUGGGCGAAAGCCUGAUCCAGCAAUGCCGCGUGAGUGAAGAAGGCCUUCGGGUUGUAAAGCUCUUUUGUCAGGGAAGAAACGGUGCGGGCUAAUAUCCUGCACUAAUGACGGUACCUGAAGAAUAAGCACCGGCUAACUACGUGCCAGCAGCCGCGGUAAUACGUAGGGUGCAAGCGUUAAUCGGAAUUACUGGGCGUAAAGCGUGCGCAGGCGGUUUUGUAAGUCUGAUGUGAAAUCCCCGGGCUCAACCUGGGAAUUGCAUUGGAGACUGCAAGGCUAGAAUCUGGCAGAGGGGGGUAGAAUUCCACGUGUAGCAGUGAAAUGCGUAGAGAUGUGGAGGAACACCGAUGGCGAAGGCAGCCCCCUGGGUCAAGAUUGACGCUCAUGCACGAAAGCGUGGGGAGCAAACAGGAUUAGAUACCCUGGUAGUCCACGCCCUAAACGAUGUCUACUAGUUGUCGGGUUUUAAUUAACUUGGUAACGCAGCUAACGCGUGAAGUAGACCGCCUGGGGAGUACGGUCGCAAGAUUAAAACUCAAAGGAAUUGACGGGGACCCGCACAAGCGGUGGAUGAUGUGGAUUAAUUCGAUGCAACGCGAAAAACCUUACCUACCCUUGAC